AAGGUUGCUGGUUACAUAAUUUCCUCCUCCAUAGUUGUCAUAACCACCUCCGUAGCCCCCACCCUGGUUGCCAUAUCCAGGCCCUCCUCCAUACCCGUUAUAGCCACCCCCAAAUCCACGACCACUUCCAUAUCCAUCAGAUCCUCCUCUGAAGUUACUUCCUGGUCCUGGUCCAAAAUUUCCACCACUACCACCACCAGAAUCUCCAAAACCAAAGUGGCCUCCUCUUCCACUUCUAGAACUUUGGACUUCCUGCAUUUCUUUUCUAGACAAAGCCUUUCUUACUUCUGCAUUAUGACCAUUGAUAGUAUGGUAUUUCUGCAACACAGUCUUAUCCACAGGAUCAUGGUCAUCAAAAGUAACAAACCCAAAGCCUCUUUUCUUUCCAGACUAUCUAUCAGUAAUUAUCUCAAUGGUUUCAAUUUUUCCAUAUUCCUUAAAGUAAUCUCUAAGAUGAUGUUCCUCAGUAUCUUCUUUAAUUCCACCUACAGAUAGCUUCUUCACAGUGACAUGAGCCCCUGGCUUUCCAGAGUCCUCUCUUGCAACAGCACGUUUUGGCUCAACUGCUCUCCCAUCAGUUGAAUGAGGUCUUGCAGCCUUGGCGGCAUCAAUCUCAGCCAUGGAUGAAAAAGUUACAAAACCAAAUCCUCUUGAUCUUUUGCUUGCAGGAUCCCUCAUUACCACACAGUCUGUAAGUUUUCCCCAUUGCUCGUAGUAGAUCCUCAAGCUAUCUUCUGUAGUUUCAAAGCUCAAGCCACAAUAAAGAGUACAGAAUUGUUCCUUUUCUCUCUCCAUCGCGGACUCAGUUGCUUCAGCCUGAUUGGCCGCAGCUGAGCGAGAUGAGAGAGAUCUCUGCGGACGAACACGAACCGGCCUCGUCCUGGCGCUGUAGUGAGAACUGCCGCAGCUCGGGAAACAGCACUGCUAGGAGCACCUCCACUCGCGACCCGGCGCUGCUGCCACUGCCGCUUGAGCCGCUGCCACCACUUUUCUAGAACCUUCCCACUGACUAACGCAUCUUCCCUACCUCAGGCUGUUGCGUACCCAUAUAUCUCUUGUCCUUACACAGGCGCAA
rnacentral:lncRNA from 1 species